rnacentral:rRNA from 1 species
UACGGGGGGGGCAAGCGUUGUUCGGAAUUACUGGGCGUAAAGGGCGCGUAGGUGGCCAACUAAGUCAGACGUGAAAUCCCCCGGCUUAACCGGGGAACUGCGUCCGAUACUGGAUGGCUAGAGUUCGGGAGAGGGAUGCGGAAUUCCAGGUGUAGCGGUGAAAUGCGUAGAUAUCUGGAGGAACACCGGUGGCGAAGGCGGCAUCCUGGACCGACACUGACGCUGAGGAGCGAAAGCCAGGGGAGCAAACGGG